UACGUAGGGGGCGAGCGUUGUCCGGAGUUACUGGGCGUAAAGGGCAUGCAGGCGGUCCGACACGUUUUUGUGUGACAGCGGGUGGCUUAACUACCCGAGGAUACGAAAGACGGUUGGACUUGAGGACUCGAGAGGGACACGGAAUUCCGGGUGUAGCAGUGAAAUGCGUAGAGAUCGUAAGGAAGGCCAGUGGCGAAGGCGAGUUCCUGGACAGUUACUGACGCUGAGGCACGAAGGCCAGGGGAGCAAACGGG
rnacentral:rRNA from 1 species